rnacentral:rRNA from 1 species
CAGCAGCCGCGGGAAUACGUAGGUGGCAAGCGUUAUCCGGAAUUAUUGGGUGUAAAGCGCGCGUAGGCGGUUUUUUAAGUCUGAUGUGAAAGCCCACGGCUCAACCGUGGAGGGUCAUUGGAAACUGGAAAACUUGAGUGCAGAAGAGGAAAGUGGAAUUCCAUGUGUAGCGGUGAAAUGCGCAGAGAUAUGGAGGAACACCAGUGGCGAAGGCGACUUUCUGGUCUGUAACUGACGCUGAUGUGCGAAAGCGUGGGGAUCAAACAGGAUUAGAUACCCGGGUAGUCCCUGUCUCUUAUAC